rnacentral:tRNA from 1 species
GCCUGGGUGGCUCAGUCGGUUGAGCAUCCGACUUUGGCUCAGGUCAUGAUUUCACAGGACGUGAGUUCGAGCUCCACAUCAGGCU